rnacentral:rRNA from 1 species
CUAAUACAUGCAAGUCGAGCGAACGGACGAGAAGCUUGCUUCUCUGAUGUUAGCGGCGGACGGGUGAGUAACACGUGGAUAACCUACCUAUAAGACUGGGAUAACUUCGGGAAACCGGAGCUAAUACCGGAUAAUAUUUUGAACCGCAUGGUUCAAAAGUGAAAGACGGUCUUGCUGUCACUUAUAGAUGGAUCCGCGCUGCAUUAGCUAGUUGGUAAGGUAACGGCUUACCAAGGCAACGAUGCAUAGCCGACCUGAGAGGGUGAUCGGCCACACUGGAACUGAGACACGGUCCAGACUCCUACGGGAGGCAGCAGUAGGGAAUCUUCCGCAAUGGGCGAAAGCCUGACGGAGCAACGCCGCGUGAGUGAUGAAGGUCUUCGGAUCGUAAAACUCUGUUAUUAGGGAAGAACAUAUGUGUAAGUAACUGUGCACAUCUUGACGGUACCUAAUCAGAAAGCCACGGCUAACUACGUGCCAGCAGCCGCGGUAAUACGUAGGUGGCAAGCGUUAUCCGGAAUUAUUGGGCGUAAAGCGCGCGUAGGCGGUUUUUUAAGUCUGAUGUGAAAGCCCACGGCUCAACCGUGGAGGGUCAUUGGAAACUGGAAAACUUGAGUGCAGAAGAGGAAAGUGGAAUUCCAUGUGUAGCGGUGAAAUGCGCAGAGAUAUGGAGGAACACCAGUGGCGAAGGCGACUUUCUGGUCUGUAACUGACGCUGAUGUGCGAAAGCGUGGGGAUCAAACAGGAUUAGAUACCCUGGUAGUCCACGCCGUAAACGAUGAGUGCUAAGUGUUAGGGGGUUUCCGCCCCUUAGUGCUGCAGCUAACGCAUUAAGCACUCCGCCUGGGGAGUACGACCGCAAGUUUGGAACUCAAAGGAUUUGACGGGGACCCGCACAAGCGGUGGAGCAUGUGGUUUAAUUCGAAGCAACGCGAAGAACCUUACCAAAUCUUGACAUCCUUUGACAACUCUAGAGAUAGAGCCUUCCUCUUCGGGGGACAAAGUGACAGGUGGUG